rnacentral:rRNA from 1 species
UGCCUAAUACAUGCAAGUCGAACGAAGUAAUUUGGAUAAGUUUACUUAACUAAAUGACUUAGUGGCGAACGGGUGAGUAAUACAUAAAUAACCUGCCCCGAUGUCUGGAAUAACAGUUGGAAACGAUUGCUAAUGCCGGAUAUGAUAUUUGGAAGCAUUUCCUAAUAUUGAAAGAUGGGAUACAUCGCAACGGGAUGGAUUUAUGGCGCAUUAGUUAGUUGGUGAGGUAACGGCUCACCAAGACGAUGAUGCGUAGCCGGCCUGAGAGGGUGACCGGCCACACUGGGACUGAGACACGGCCCAGACUCCUACGGGAGGCAGCAGUAGGGAAUUUUCGGCAAUGGGGGCAACCCUGACCGAGCGACGCCGCGUGAGUGAAGAAGGCCUUCGGGUUGUAAAGCUCUGUUGUAAGGGAAGAACUGUACGGAUAGGGAAUGAUCUGUACUUGACGGUGCCUUACCAGCAAGCCGCGGCUAACUACGUGCCAGCAGCCGCGGUAAUACGUAGGUGGCGAGCGUUGUCCGGAUUUACUGGGCGUAAAGGGAGCGUAGGCGGAUUUUUAAGUGAGAUGUGAAAUACUCGGGCUUAACCUGAGUGCUGCAUUUCAAACUGGAAGUCUAGAGUGCAGGAGAGGAGAAGGGAAUUCCUAGUGUAGCGGUGAAAUGCGUAGAGAUUAGGAAGAACACCAGUGGCGAAGGCGCUUCUCUGGACUGUAACUGACGCUGAGGCUCGAAAGCGUGGGGAGCAAACAGGAUUAGAUACCCUGGUAGUCCACGCCGUAAACGAUCAAUAAAGGGUGUAGGGGUUGUCAUGACCUUUGUGCCCGCCGCUAACGCAUUAAGUAUUUCCGCCGGGGGAGUACGGUCGCAAGAUAAAAAUUCAAAGGAAUUGACGGGGGCCCGCACAAGCAGCGGAACAUGUGGUUUAAUUCGAAGCAACGCGAAGAACCUUACCUAGACUUGACAUCUCCUGCAUUUACUCUUAAUCGAGGAAGUCCCUUCGGGGACAGGAUGACAGGUGGUGCAUGGUUGUCGUCAGCUCGUGUCGUGAGAUGUUGGGUUAAGUCCCGCAACGAGCGCAACCCUUAUUGUUAGUUGCCAUCAUUAAGUUGGGCACUCUAGCGAGACUGCCCGGGUUAACCGGGAGGAAGGUGGGGAUGACGUCAAAUCAUCAUGCCCCUUAUGUCUAGGGCUACACACGUGCUACAAUGGUCGGUACAAUAAGACGCAAGCCCGCGAGGGGGAGCAAAACUGGAAAACCGAUCUCAGUUCGGAUUGUAGGCUGAAACUCGCCUACAUGAAGCUGGAGUUGCUAGUAAUCGCGAAUCAGCAUGUCGCGGUGAAUACGUUCCCGGGC